UCCCUGACGGUCCAGUGGUUAAGACUCUGCGCUUACAGUGCAGAGGUCAUGGGGUCAAUCCCAGGUCAGGGAA
rnacentral:tRNA from 1 species